rnacentral:rRNA from 1 species
CGGAGAGUUCCCUUCGGGGACAUUGGUGACAGGUGGUGCAUGGUUGUCGUCAGCUCGUGUCGUGAGAUGUUGGGUUAAGUCCCGCAACGGGCGCAACCCUUGUCUUUAGUUGCCAUCAUUAAGUUGGGCACUCUAGAGAGACUGCCAGGGAUAACCUGGAGGAAGGUGGGGAUGACGUCAAAUCAUCAUGCCCCUUAUGCUUAGGGCUACACACGUG